CUACCUACUCCGCAGGAUGUGUGGGCAAGAAAUUCAUCCUGAAAGUGAUGUGGACAGACGGUCCUCUGAACUAUGGUAGUGUCUGACCCACCUGGCUAUCCUGGAAGACAGUUCACCAAAAGCAGUGAGGGGCUUGCGGAUAAUGUGGAGUGAACCUGAUGAGGUCAAUCCAGUGGAAGGAGCAAGAACAGAACAGAAAGGCUACAUGCAUCAUUUGGGGCCUUUUUAUAAGAAUGCUUUAAUCCUAGCUUCUUCUGAUGGAAUAACCUUAGUGAGGUGUUCUGCUCGGCACGGAAUUCACCUCUUUUUACAUCGUAUACAUACAUAAGAGCAAAUCAUUAAAUAUAUCCUUGGGACACACAGACAACAAAGAGGCAGAAUUCGCUAGGUAAGAACCACCCUGCCUCAGUCUUAAACUCCAUCAUUCAUUAAUAACAGAAAAAUAAAUGAUGGGAGUAUUCUAUUAGCUGCACAGUCUGAAUCUGAUUGAUCCAUCCACCUGGUAGUCCUGGAGGGACCAGGAGUCUUGAUCCAACUAUUAGUUACAUUCUCCAUUGCAGACAAAUGAGAGAUUGGGAAUGGCUACCAGGCCCUAUAUUACCUUCCGAUGCCCAGCCAUUUAGGUCAGUGCAGUGAUUAAACGCAGGGCAACUGGAGUCAGACAGAACUUGGUUUAAAUCCUUGAGCAACUACCUGCUAGCUGUAUGUCUUCUAGAAAGCUAUUUAAGCUCUCAAAGUUUCAGUCUCCUCAAAGUCUGUUUAUAUCACAGAGACAUUAAUUAUAUCUACCUCUAGGGUAUUGUAAAUGAAGUAAUGCAUGGACAUAAUACCUGAAAAAUAGCAUUGCUCAACUAAAGACAUUUCUUCUCUGGAAACCUGAUUGGUAUCUUGUUAUCCAUUCAUUUGUU